rnacentral:rRNA from 1 species
AUUGAACGCUGGCGGCAGGCCUAACACAUGCAAGUCGAACGAGUGGCGGACGGGUGAGUAAUAUCUGGGAACCUGCCUGGUGGAGGGGGAUAACUACUGGAAACGGUAGCUAAUACCGCAUACCAUCGGAUGUGCCCAGAUUGGAUUAGCUAGUAGGUGGGGUAAAGGCUCACCUAGGCUACGAUCCGUAGCUGGUCUGAGAGGAUGCCCAGCCACACUGGAACUGAGACACGGCCCAGACUCCUACGGGAGGCAACAGUGGGGAAUAUUGGACAAUGGGGGAAAGCCUGAUGCAGCCAUGCCGCGUGUAUGAAGAAGGCCUUCGGGUUGUAAAGUACUUUCAGCGGGGAGGCGUUACCAGCAGAAGAAGCACCGGCUAACUCCGUGCCAGCAGCCGCGGUAAUAC